rnacentral:rRNA from 1 species
AACGAACGCUGGCGGCAGGCCUAACACAUGCAAGUCGAGCGCGCCCUUCGGGGUGAGCGGCGGACGGGUGAGUAACGCGUGGGAACGUGCCCUUUUCUACGGAAUAGCCUCGGGAAACUGAGAGUAAUACCGUAUACGCCCCUUGGGGGAAAGAUUUAUCGGAAAAGGAUCGGCCCGCGUUGGAUUAGGUAGUUGGUGGGGUAAUGGCCUACCAAGGCGACGAUCCAUAGCUGGUUUGAGAGGAUGAUCAGCCACACUGGGACUGAGACACGGCCCAGACUCCUACGGGAGGCAGCAGUGGGGAAUCUUAGACAAUGGGGGCAACCCUGAUCUAGCCAUGCCGCGUGAGUGAUGAAGGCCUUAGGGUUGUAAAGCUCUUUCAGCUGGGAAGAUAAUGACGGUACCAGCAGAAGAAGCCCCGGCUAACUCCGUG